GACGAACGCUGGCGGCGUGCUUAACACAUGCAAGUCGAACGGUGAAGCGCCUUCCUUUUUGGUUGGUGUGGAUGAGUGGCGAACGGGUGGGUAACACGUGAGUAACCUGCCCCCUUCUUCUGGAUAACCGCAUGAAAGUGUGGCUAAUACGGGAUAUUCUGUGUCUGUCGCAUGAUGGGUCUGUGAAAGAUAUUGUUUCGGUGGGGGAUGGGCUCGCGGCCUAUCAGCUUGUUGGUGGGGUGAUGGCCUACCAAGGCGGUGACGGGUAGCCGGCCUGAGAGGGUGGACGGUCACACUGGGACUGAGACACGGAGCAGACUCCUACAGGAGGCAGCAGUGGGGAAUAUUGCACAAUGGGCGCAAGCCUGAAGCAGCGACGCCGCGUGAGAGAUGGAGGCCGUCGGGUUGUGAACCUCUUUCGCCAGUGAAGCGGGCCUGCCUCGUUUGUGGGUGGGUUGACGGUAGCUGGAUAAGAAGCGCCGGCUAACUACGUG
rnacentral:rRNA from 1 species